UGUUUUUUAGGCAUCAUAUCCGGACUUUUCUGGUGUAAACAACGACAGUUGCGUCAGCAGAACAUUGAAGAAAAGCUGAUUAGUCAUGGAGGAAGAAGAUCCCUCUCAAGAAAGUAUUGCAGUGAUGAAGUCAGAUGAGAUGACAGGUUGUGUGAUUUGAAGAUGGACUUCUGCAACAAAGUAAACACUCCUCUACCUUUUUCCAUACAAAAGUAGAGAGAUUGAAACAUUUGGUAAAAGUACAAA